CCGGAGUGCCAUCCUGCCGACGCAAACUCGUGGAGUGGACAUCAAGGAGCUGGAAAGCAGAGCGGCCAAAAAAGCUCAAAAUUUAGCCACUUCGGCUAAAUCCCAGAACAGUAACGGUCCAUCAACCAAACAGCAGUUUGGAAUGACGUUCACCGUGAGACCAGGAGCCAAACAACCAAUAACACCCGUUAUCAAAGACGGUUCGUCCUGAUCCAGAGAGCAUUCCUGACUGGAAUUAUUCCAAAGACGUGCCUUACCUGUACAUAUGCACCUACCCGACAGACAUUUAACGUUUUGCACCCGGUCUGGAGCUUUAUUACUGCUGUUGCUAAAGUAUUACUCUAUUAACUUUCUACUUGGAUGUUUCUUCAGCUGUCAGUAUAUUCAGGUUUUGCCGAACUCUUAUGACCGCAGCUUCAUCACGGACUUUCUAGAGCUGCUAAAAUUUAUCGAUGGAGCAACUGUGCCUGUAUAUGGCUAGAUAAUCUACACGGAAACUCAUUUUAAUGUCAAACCUUUUAAUUUAAUUUAAUUGUUUAAUCCAGUUUCUAAUCAGGUUAUAAAUUAAGAACACCAGUUCUUAAUUGUAACUUCUGCAUAAUAUUUUAGAAUGUUUUUAAUCAUUAAUGUACAAUAUUAAUCUAUAGCUCUCGAUAUGAGAGCUUCUUUCAGUGGUGCUGGAUUUUUUUCCAGGUCAAAACAUGAUGUAUUUUUACGAACUUAUAAAAAGUAUACAAUAAGCCUUCGAAUUUGAGAAUAAACGCUGUUAUAAAUGGUCA